GCGCCAUAAAAGUUGUGAUGAAAUAAAAGGUUAUAUCAUAUUUGAAAGAUAAAGCAAGCUUCUUUCCAGAGGGACAAUUUCUUUCUUUUGCAUUUCUUGUGAAAAAUGAAAGCUACCGUGUUUCUCCUACUCGUGGUCUUGGGCAUAGUUAUCACCCGGGCACAAUACUGCCCACAAAGAAGUGAUAUUGUUUGCAUUCGAACUCAAAACUUUUGCUGCGUCAGCGCUGAUUGUGGCCCUGGAGAAUUGUGCUGCAAUGAAAAUUGUGGAAACCAGUGCCACCGAGCUGAGCAGCUGGAAUCAACCGGCAGAGAAGCUAAUGAACCCGGCUGUGUAUUAGAAAAUAGGCCACGAAAUUAAAGCGUGUCAUUUUGUGUAGACGAGAUGUAAUUGAAAAUAAAUAUUUUUUUUUUAAGUUUAAUAAAAUCUUAUCACGAAAUAAAUA